AUUGAACGCUGGCGGCAUGCCUUACACAUGCAAGUCGAACGGCAGCACGGGAGCAAUCCUGGUGGCGAGUGGCGAACGGGUGAGUAAUAUAUCGGAACGUGCCCAGUCGUGGGGGAUAACGUAGCGAAAGCUACGCUAAUACCGCAUACGAUCUAUGGAUGAAAGCGGGGGAUCGCAAGACCUCGCGCGAUUGGAGCGGCCGAUAUCAGAUUAGGUAGUUGGUGAGGUAAAGGCUCACCAAGCCGACGAUCUGUAGCUGGUCUGAGAGGACGACCAGCCACACUGGGACUGAGACACGGCCCAGACUCCUACGGGAGGCAGCAGUGGGGAAUUUUUGGACAAAUGGGCGGCAAGCCUGAUCCAGCAAUG
rnacentral:rRNA from 1 species